rnacentral:rRNA from 1 species
UACGGGGGGGGCAAGCGUUGUUCGGAAUUACUGGGUGUAAAGGGCUCGUAGGUGGCCAACUAAGUCAGACGUGAAAUCCCUCGGCUUAACCGGGGAACUGCGUCUGAUACUGGAUGGCUUGAGUUCGGGAGAGGGAUGCGGAAUUCCAGGUGUAGCGGUGAAAUGCGUAGAUAUCUGGAGGAACACCGGUGGCGAAGGCGGCAUCCUGGACCGACACUGACACUGAGGAGCGAAAGCCAGGGGAGCAAACGGG